CGAAGCGAAGGACGUAAACAAUGCCGGCAAAGCAAAUACUAAAAGUCUUCCACUUCUACGUCGAGAACCAGGAGAUGUGUACAAAUAACAGCCAGGAGCAACAACUAGAAUAGAGACAGGCAAUGCUACGGAGCCUCGAGUGCGAGGGAUGUCGCAGGAAUAUACCAGGACGAACGAAAGCAAUGGCUACAAUGACCGUUACAACUCCGAGCAGCCUCUAGCCAUCCAAGAAGUACUAAGGUCUCAAUCUAAGGAAGUAUGCAAACGUGUCUACAUGCACUGGCGUGUAAUACCGCCACAAGGCCAAAAAAGACGACGCAGGGGCAUUAUAUACAGGGUUGGAAGAAGAUAACCACCACUACACGGAAUUUCCCAAUACUACGUUAGAAAUAUUCUUUUAAUGGCUUGUGCUAACUGUACCUGUAAAUGCAAUAAGAUCCUAAAUAAAAAAUUGGCUGUUACUAAGGAGUUCUUUCCGUUCGAAAAUUUUACCAGGGUUCUUGACGAAUUGGCGGAAGCGCUAACGGUGAAGAAUAGACCGUUACAUAUUUACCGACGGGACUCUUCUCCUACCUUUUGUAAACCAGGCGGCUUCACAUUUAUCAGCACACAGUGGGAGGUUGUUGUUCUCUAGUCAGUUCUGUAAUGUUUUUAGAGCUCUAUUAAGUUUGCUUACCAGUAACUCUAUGUCUUUUCCUUCGCAGAACAGGACCCAUUCAGCUAUUAUCUUGAUUCGGGUUUAAAGGCCGUCGUCGAUUGGAAUUACUUCCUAACGUUUCGCUAGCACGAGUGGCGAGCUUCUUCAGAGGUCCUUCCAACUCCGAUGUUGGACGUAGACUGACGAUUUCUCCUGCGCAGGUUGUAUUUAUGCCGAUUGGUGGUGGGCGGGGCUUGUUCCGCUUCGGUUGGUCUCGGGAUAUCGAUCGGUACUGCUCGGGCGUUCCUAAGGAUCGGGUUUCAGAUUUGGUUGAGUCUAAGGGUCUCCUCCUUUCUGUUGAAAUUGUGUGGAUGUUUUUGUAUCUCAAUGGCUUCCCUGACUAGUCUGUUGUGAUAGCCGUUACUCUGCCAAUCCUGUUGGUGACACUCGGAAUAUACGGCAGAUAUGCGUGGGAGGUGAAGGGUCGUUGUUCGGUAUCCCGUGAUCUCGAUGGUCUUGAGUUCAUUGAUCUUUCGAUCUCCCUCUUGUUGUAGCCAUUUCGCUGGAACGUAGUUUUUAGGUGUUCAAAUUCCAUCUGGAGGUUCUCCGGUUCGCAAAUCCUUCGGGCUCGUUCUGUCAGGGUUCUGAUAACCCCAUACUUUUGACUUGGGUGAUGGUUGGAUAGAGCAUGCAGGUAUCUGUCCGUAUGGGUUGGUUUUCUGUAAACUGUGUGGCCCAGCUUGUUACCUCGCUUCCUCACUAGUACGUCCAAGAAUGCAAGUUGUUGGUCAUUUUCAGUCUCCAUAGUAAACUGGAUGCUGGGAUGUUGACUGUUGAGAUGCUGCAGAAAGUUGUUGAGCUUGUCCAUACCAUGUUUCCAAAUCAUGAAGGUGUCAUCCACGCACCGGAACCACUUUGCUGGCUUGUACUCUGAGGUCUCGAUCGCUUUUUCCUCAAAAUAAAUAAGUUGGCUAUAACCGGGUUUAAUGGGCUUCCCAUUGCCACUCCAUCCACCUGUUCGUAGAAGUUUCCCUUAAACACAAAAUAGCUACCGGUCAGACAGACUUCAAAAAGUCAGCAAAUAUCGACAGGAAAUAUCCAGUUCACCAUGUCCAAGCAACUCUUCAGAGGUACUUUGGUAAACAGUGAGACGACGUCGAAGCUCACAAAGAUGUCGUUUUGUUCAAUAUUGAUAUCUUGAAUCUUGCGCAUGAAGUCGGUGGAGUCCUUGAUGUAACUGGUGCCGUGUCCUAUGUGUGGUUGGAGCAGCGAUGCCAAGUGUUUAACCAAGUAAUACGUUGGUGAUCCGGGUGCGCUAACUAUUGGUCUUAACGGGACAUCUUGAAAGUCGAGUUGAGUUUCUCUAAAAGCAAAUUGAAUUUUGUAAAAUCCCACAAGUCGAUAUUGAAUUUAUCGAUAGCUGCAAGAUUCUCUGAAAAUGUUGAAAGCAAUCUCCUCAGUUCGACAACCGAGUCACUCUUCAUAGUCCGAGCCCGUAAGAUCGACAGCCAAUAAUCGGUUAACAUCAAUCGAUCUUUUAAUAACGCUUCACGAGAGCAUUGUAAGCUAUACUACCAAUACGACCAAAUAAGACAAUAAAAAUUGAAAUUUUUCAAUGUUUGAAAGGGAAGAAUUAUUAUGGAUUAAGGUGUUAAACAUAUCAAAAAAUUAACCCUCUAACGAGGUCGGCGUGCCGAAAGGCACUGUGACGUCAUAAAAAUAACGAUGGGUGCGAAUACACACCUACACCUCACGUUCGACACAAGUAAGGUGACAUUACACCUGUAAUUAGCGACAGGUGUCACCUACACCUAACGGUUACCACAGGUUAGGUGACAUUACACCUACACCUGUAAUUAGCGACAGGUGUCACCUACACCUAACGGUUACCACAGGUCAGGUGACAUUACACCUACACCUGUAAUUAGCGACAGGUGAGACACCUUACUUUUUCAGCUGCUACGACCCCUUCUGGAGGGAUGAUGGUCACCUAGAUAUCAUCCCCGUUCACAGUUAAGUGUGAAGUAAGAAGAAAAAUUAAAUCUCUACCGCAAGCACAAGGAGAAUGGUUUGAGGCUUUUAAAGAUGACAAAAAAAAAUGGUAGUUUGUGGAGGGUCCAAUUUAAAAUACAAUUUGGAAAAGCAGCUGACGCAAUGCGAAGAAAAUAUACAGCAGCUCGAAACUCAGAUAGCAGUUGUUCAGGCCGAUCUUUAAGUACUGCGCUUACGUGCCGAAGAAUACAAAGUAAAAAGCGGAUAUUUUCAAAAUUUGGGUCUAGCAGAUAUUGUAUAAAAUUGUAAAAAAUAUUCAGAAACUGUAAUGUGAUAAAAAAAUAAAAUCCCAACAAUAUAUUUCCAGUCAUUUUAUUUCAAAUAUUUGAGAGGACGCUUUUGGUCAGAUCUUAAUUAUGUCUAAAAAUAACUGCGGAACAGCUCUCGAACAUGUUCAAAACGUCUAAAAGGUUUCGACAGAUCCGAAACAGAUAUGACCCAGUAAUGAUAAGCAUUUCCGGAGAAAAUCUUAAUUAACCGGAAGGAACGUACUCGAAAGUUUGCAUUAUUUUAACUUCGUUAUCGGAGAAGGAAAUGACGUUAUUAACAUGUGACCACCGCCACAGUCAGUCUUCAUUCUUUGGAUUUUUUUGUUUUCACCGCAUAAAAAUAGUAAGUGUUAAGUGAUACUAGAACAGUUCGGGAGUGAGAGGCAAAAAAAUAAUGUUCGCCUGCGAAUAUUGCAACCGCUAGUUCAGCCGAAAAGACCAGCUCGCCAGGCACGGGCAUUGUGACGUUUGCGGUGGGAUAUACGACGUCAUCAACGCGAGAAAUAUGUGGUGUCCAAUGGAGGAGACCCCGUAUCAUCCGCUCACCGAGGGACCUGUUUUGGCAUGGGCAGGAUUUGGAGUCUUCUGAUCGAUCCGGACUCAGUGCACGGUAUUGGGCUAAAGGAGUUGUUGACCUAUAGAAGGAGCGGUAUUCUGGACGCCUUCUAGCGCGGUCUGAGGGCACAACGGACCCAUGUGGUUUCCUAAGUGCUAGGACGCAGGGGUGCCACCCUUUAAGACCAAUACCAAAGACCCGAAAAGACCCGCCGCCGUCCCUAUUGCUGCUGACGAAGCCAAGCGCCCGAGACCUUACCUACCGGAAGGUAAGAUUUUUUACAUUUUCUUUACGAGACAGGUAUUGGUCGACAACAUCGAAAAAAGGUAUUUUUAAAACUCCGAUUUUUAGAUUCGUUUCGAGUCAUGGCGUCCAGCUUGGACAAAUUGAGUCGAAAUUUAAACGAUAGAAUUUCAACUUAUUCGACAGAAGGGCGUCUUUCCCUAUACAUACCUCAUUAGAUUUCUUCAAUGCUUUAGAUUUUUUCAGCUAUGUACGUCUUAGUCAAUAAAAUGUACUAUGCCUAUUGCUUAUUUUUUCCGCCCCUCUGAUUAUAUGAGCAGAUACCGAUAAAGGAGAGCUUUCCUCUUAUCAGUUUAACGGAUGUGCCUGCAGACAAUACUUCCUCGCAUAAACUAUAGUUUCUAUCUUAAAAAAUUAUUGACGUUUGCGGGUUAUCUUUAAUAAUUUAAUUAUAUGCGACCUGGACGACCCAAUUGUCUCGCUGCGAACAAAAACAAACAGCGAGUAGCAUUGAGAGAUAUUUAUAUAGAUUAUGCGCGGCCACGGUGACAUAAUAGUCUCGCUCCGCGUAACAUCGUCGGCCAGGCUCGCCUCCCGCCAGUACCUUGCUCUCCUCAGUAAGACCAGGAACUUGUAAUUUUUGCAACGCCGACGGUGUCUAAAAAAACAAUUUUAUCAAAAAAUUGCAUGUUUCACACUUUUGUGUCGCGUCAGAAAUAUGUGGAAUAUGAAUUAGGCUGCUUUUCUAUAAUUUUACUACGUUUACAACUCUACUCUCGAACGGAAGUGGAAGCGAAUAUUUAUGCUGGAAACGAAAAUUACGACUCCGAAGAAAAGGCAGUAGGAAGAAACAGGUCCUUA